CUCUGGCUUUAGCGUUCUUUCAUCCCUGCUUCCCUGAUGUCCCCUGAGCCUUGGAGGGUGUGAUGUAGCCCUUCCCACCUCCGACUGAGCAUUCUACAGUCACUUAUUCUCAGCACUUAGGACAGCCAGGUCUCUGCAGCGACAGCUGCCCACUGUAGAGAAGAGGUUUCUCUGACCGAGCAGAUCGCAACACUAAUCUACGUGCACAAACACAGCAGUUUGAUCCCAACAGAAGCGGUUGGACGUUUCCAUAGCACACUUCCCACUAUGGAACCGUCGAAGACAUCUUGUCCGGUCUGGCAGUAGCCAACACAGAGAACUCAAACCAUCGAGCCUUCAAUGUGACCCUUCUUUGACGUCCUUUGGGUCAAGGAGGCAAAGAGGACGCUCUAAUUAGAGAACUCAAGCCAAGCCCAAGUUAAAGAAGCUUCCACCACCCAUGCCACGUGCAGAACCAUGGAGAAGGAAGUGCUCUGUGCACCCCAGGAGGGAGUGUGCCUGGUGCAUAAAUCCAUACUUUCUUAACACACUCCUUCUGGGCUUUUGCUUUCUGCACAGGGAGAGGGAACUGUAAAAAUAGACUUUGUGUUUCUGAAGAAGUGGAAGACUUCUUGCAUCAUGGUGGUAAGCUACCAUCUACCGGGGGCCGUGGGACCCCAUGUGAACAUGCAGCUCAACCCUAAAAUAGCUACCAUUCCAGACAAGUGGGCUGGCUUUGUUUUUUUCCGUUUGUUUGUUUGUCUUGUUUUGUUUAGUCAAAAAAUGGGAGAUCACAUAAGCAAAGUUAAAAAAGAAACUGGUAUUGGGGAAAAUAGACCGGUGUUAGCUAGUCCAAACACCUGGUCAACAAAUUCACUUAAUUCACAUUGACUUCUCCCCAGCUGUGAGUCUUGGGUUAUUACUCUCUUUACUUUCUUUUUUUCCUUUGUAAGAACUCUACAGAAAUGGAAAGGAAAUAAUCUGUAAACAGAAAGUAUCGAUUUUUGCCGGA